AAGCUGUUCGAUUAGUGGUAAAUCCUGUACCUUACACGUACAAGCCGAUGGUUCGAAUCCAUCACAGCUUA
rnacentral:tRNA from 2 species